AGCAGUGCAGGGAAUGCAGCUGCCAGGAAGAGAAGGUGGAGCUCAGCAGAUGGAUCUAGAUGGGAAGGAGGUCCAGUGUUGGAAGUCCAGUGCUGGAAACCUGACAAGUAAUGAGAGCUGGAAGGGAGUCCAGUUUCUCCAGUGAUUCUAAACAUCGCAGCAGAGCCAAGUUUAAGUAAGUCUGAGGCUGGAGUAGAAUAAAAGUAGGGAAGUGGGACCAGCAGAGCUGGGAGCUGUCCGGCAGAACAACUUGGAUUCCGUGGGGUGCCACCUACCACCCCUUGCCACCAAUCCUGGCAGUGGGAGGAGUGCCUGGAGGCCCAGGCUAUGUUGCAACACCUAUUUGCUAUGUGCAGGACAUACUUUCAGGAGACCAUUUCCAUCUGGAAUAGCUUCUUCUGCACACACUAAGUAUCAGUAAGAAGAAAGAGACUGAUCACGCUGCACUGGAACAGAGAAGAUGCAUAGUUUACCCAAGGCUGUAACUGAGAAAGUCCUCUAUAGAGCUGUAUGGACAGCCUCGCUCUCAAGCCAUGUGGAUAGACAGCAGAACUGAUCAGCUGAUGUUUUUGCAUGGAGAAAGAAAAGAGUGCAUAUGCCUGAAACAACCUGUGCUAAACAUGGUGAUACAAGUGGCAAUUCCACUUGUUCAGAAGGCAGCCUGAUCAUGGGAGACUUAAGAAUUUUUGUUCAUGUCUUUGCUAAUGAUCCCUUUAAUUACUAGCUAUAAAUCAUAUGGUAUGAAAAUAUCACCAUUCUCAUUUCAAGAAGAAAGAUUUUGUAAUGCUUUCUCACUGUGUAAUAUGUAUGGAUUUAGGGCUCUGUGGAUUAAAUUUGGCAAUUUCAGGCAUGCAAGGUUACUAAUCCGUACUUUGUCUACAAAAAAAUAGAAAGAAGAAGCAAGGCAGCCUUGUGCCCUGGGGAUGGCUGGGGAAUUCCACACAUGCCUGUCUUCUGUAACUCUUGUCAAGGGUGAAAACAUUAACAUCAGUGUUGCAAUAGUUACAGGCAGACCGAAGGGGCACACUUGAAGCAAACAUACGUGGUUUCGUUAAGUACUUCUCUGUUUUCACCUCACGGUUAUUUUUUUGACAUCUCUGUUCUUCCAGUUUCCUGAUGUUUUAAAGAAUGUAUUUGUCACAUUUAAUUCUGUUUUCCUGUAAUAACUUCAUCCACAGAGACUUCUCUUGGAGAACGGCCCAGAGAUUUUUCUGUUUCUUCUUACAUUUCUAUUUUCUCUGCAUCUGCUAUUACAUCAUUUAUAUGGGUUACAUACACAUAAUUUUAGUUUUUAUGUCAGAGUUAUAAUGCCACAAUCAGGCUGUCGAAAUGGCUAAGUCCUGAGGAAUUUAUUUAGGCAGGAUUUGCACAGAAUUUUGUGUGAUUGCUUCAAUAAGUUGAAUACUGCAAUAUUUCUGGUAGGUAUGCAAAAAUAAUAUAGGUAUAAGAAUAGAGCAUCAGUAAAAAUCAUUUCAGCAGUCACUAAAGUGAACCACAUUGUGCAGCUUUAACAAGGUCAGUGACGAACUAGAAGGAAGCAAGGAAUCUUGAUUUUGGCUUCAGUUUUCAACUCUUGACCACACUUCUUUGCUGUAUAAUUAUACUAUUUACUGUUAAAUUUCAUUUAAUAUUGAACUGAGUAAAUGCUAUAAUUACUGAAUUUAAUAAAUUC
ensembl:lncRNA